UACUGAUUGACAAUGAGCUUAAAUUUCAUAACCAUGUCGCAAGUACUGUGAAAAAGGCCAAUGGCGUACUCUCAUGUAUACGACGUAGUUUUGAAUGCAGAGAUAAAUUUACAAUACCAAGGCUCUACAAAGGACUUGUCAGACCCAUCUUGGAUUAUGGCAACUCUAUAUGGUACCCCAGAUUCAAGAGUGAUGCUAAAUCCAUCGAGAAAGUUCAAAAGAGAGCAACCAAAAUGAUCUAUGCUAUUAGGAAUCACUCAUACACAGAGAGACUGAAGGCACUCAACCUCCCAUCCCUUCAGUACCGCAGACGUCGUGGAGACAUGAUCCAAGUGUACAAAAUUGUUCAUGGAUUUGAACGCAUCCCAAGAGAUGCCUUCUUUGAACUAUCAGCAGGCAAUACAAGAGGUCACAGUCUGAAGCUUUCUAAACCCAGAUGCUUGACCAAACUGAGGCAAGAUUCAUUCAGCCAUCGGGUCAUAAAUGACUGGAACUCACUCCCUGAAGAAGUAGUUACAGCUCAGACUGUGAAUAGCUUCAAGAUCAGACUGGACAAGGUGUGGGCAGACCAGCGGUUCUGCUCACCAUAUGAGUAGCAAACCCCUUUAAGAUAGAGAUCUGAGCCAAAAAUGACACCGAGCAGACACCACACCAAUCAUUGAGAUGGAUGAAAAUGGCACAGAACUGGAAGCCUGACUGCUGGGAUCCACAGCACUCUUCCAGAAGUUUGGGUAAAGGUAAAGCAUCUUACAACAUGCACAGGCAGUCCUGAGAGACUAUUAAAGGGGGAUUGUUAGAGAGGAAUAUGCCAACAAGAACUGCAAUUAGGAGUCGUUGACAGGAGGAAACUUUUUAAAAGAGACCACACACUACCUCAUCAACAUUCUUGAAGAUGAUCCGAGCCUGAAGAGGGACAAAGGGCCUAGUGAUAGACUACCUUUCUGCAAGUAUUGACAAUUCUGCUUUUGUAUGGUGAUAAUUUCAGGGAAUACGAGGUAAUGAGGCAUCAGUGUUGCAAUCAUCUGUUUGUGAGACUUGAUCAAAGAUGUUUCGCAAGCGAUAGAAAAAAAGGGGUUUUGUGAGAACUUCAACAACCAGAGAUGAGAUUGAGACUACCCAAAAACAACUGUAUGAGUGAUCGAUGGGACCCAUGUCUAUACAAGAAUUCCUGGAGGGAAACAAGCCUUGUACUUUCCUGAAGGGAAAGUCCACCCCAACAAAAAGUUUCUUUGAUAUAAUAGAGAAAAGUCCAAUCAGCGUAACUCUGAACAUUUCAUCAAAAUUUGACAUAAAGUGAGAAAGUGUUGACAUUUUUAAGUUUCGCUUAUUUUCACAAAA